GAUGAACGCUAGCGGGAGGCCUAACACAUGCAAGCCGAGCGGUAGAGAGUAGCUUGCUACUCUUGAGAGCGGCGCACGGGUGCGUAACACGUGUGCAACCUACCUUUAUCUGGGGGAUAGCCUUUCGAAAGGAAGAUUAAUACCCCAUAAUAUAUUGACUGGCAUCAGUUGAUAUUGAAAACUCCGGUGGAUAGAGAUGGGCACGCGCAAGAUUAGAUAGUUGGUGAGGUAACGGCUCACCAAGUCAAUGAUCUUUAGGGGUCCUGAGAGGGAGAUCCCCCACACUGGUACUGAGACACGGACCAGACUCCUACGGGAGGCAGCAGUGAGGAAUAUUGGACAAUGGGUGAGAGCCUGAUCCAGCCAUCCCGCGUGAAGGAUGACGGCCCUAUGGGUUGUAAACUUCUUUUGUACAGGGAUAAACCUACCCUCGUGAGGGUAGCUGAAGGUACUGUACGAAUAAGCACCGGCUAACUCCGUG
rnacentral:rRNA from 1 species